rnacentral:rRNA from 1 species
GGCUCAGAUUGAACGCUGGCGGCAGGCCUAACACAUGCAAGUCGAACGGUAACAGGAAGCAGCUUGCUGCUUCGCUGACGAGUGGCGGACGGGUGAGUAAUGUCUGGGAAACUGCCUGAUGGAGGGGGAUAACUACUGGAAACGGUGGCUAAUACCGCAUAACGUCGCAAGACCAAAGAGGGGGACCUUCGGGCCUCUUGCCAUCAGAUGUGCCCAGAUGGGAUUAGCUUGUUGGUGAGGUAACGGCUCACCAAGGCGACGAUCCCUAGCUGGUCUGAGAGGAUGACCAGCCACACUGGAACUGAGACACGGUCCAGACUCCUACGGGAGGCAGCAGUGGGGAAUAUUGCACAAUGGGCGCAAGCCUGAUGCAGCCAUGCCGCGUGUAUGAAGAAGGCCUUCGGGUUGUAAAGUACUUUCAGCGGGGAGGAAGGUGUUGUGGUUAAUAACCGCAGCAAUUGACGUUACCCGCAGAAGAAGCACCGGCUAACUCCGUGCCAGCAGCCGCGGUAAUACGGAGGGUGCAAGCGUUAAUCGGAAUUACUGGGCGUAAAGCGCACGCAGGCGGUCUGUCAAGUCGGAUGUGAAAUCCCCGGGCUCAACCUGGGAACUGCAUUCGAAACUGGCAGGCUUGAGUCUUGUAGAGGGGGGUAGAAUUCCAGGUGUAGCGGUGAAAUGCGUAGAAAUCUGAAGGAAUACCGGUGGCGAAGGCGGCCCCCUGGACAAAGACUGACGCUCAGGUGCGAAAGCGUGGGAGCAAACAGGAUUAGAUACCCUGGUAGUCCACGCCGUAAAUGAUGUCUACUUGGAGGUUGUGCCCUUGAGGCGUGGCUUCCGGAGCUAACGCGUUAAGUAGACCGCCUGGGGAGUACGGCCGCAAGGUUAAAACUCAAAUGAAUUGACGGGGGCCCGCACAAGCGGUGGAGCAUGUGGUUUAAUUCGAUGCAACGCGAAGAACCUUACCUGGUCUUGACAUCCACAGAAGAAUCCAGAGAUGGAUUUGUGCCUUCGGGAACUGUGAGACAGGUGCUGCAUGGCUGUCGUCAGCUCGUGUUGUGAAAUGUUGGGUUAAGUCCCGCAACGAGCGCAACCCUUAUCCUUUGUUGCCAGCGAUUAGGUCGGGAACUCAAAGGAGACUGCCAGUGAUAAACUGGAGGAAGGUGGGGAUGACGUCAAGUCAUCAUGGCCCUUACGACCAGGGCUACACACGUGCUACAAUGGCGCAUACAAAGAGAAGCGACCUCGCGAGAGCAAGCGGACCUCAUAAAGUGCGUCGUAGUCCGGAUUGGAGUCUGCAACUCGACUCCAUGAAGUCGGAAUCGCUAGUAAUCGUGGAUCAGAAUGCCACGGUGAAUACGUUCCCGGGCCUUGUACACACCGCCCGUCACACCAUGGGAGUGGGUUGCAAAAGAAGUAGGUAGCUUAACCUUCGGGAGGGCGCUUACCACUUUGUGAUUCAUGACUGGGGUGAAGUCGUAACAAGGU